rnacentral:rRNA from 1 species
ACGGGGGGUGCAAGCGUUGUUCGGAAUUAUUGGGCGUAAAGAGCGUGUAGGCGGCUGAAUAAGUCAGAUGUGAAAUCCCUGGGCUUAACUCAGGAAGUGCAUUUGAAACUAUUCAGCUCGAGUAGGGGAGAGGAAAGUGGAAUUCCUGGUGUAGAGGUGAAAGUCGUAGAUAUCAGGAGGAACACCGGGGGCGAAGGCGACUUUCUGGCCCUAUACUGACGCUGAGACGCGAGUGCGUGGGUAGCAAAAAG